rnacentral:lncRNA from 1 species
ACGGUUCGAGAAUUGAUGUGAUCAUCUCUGGUUCUGAUCUUGAGACUGGUAAGACGAAUGAACCAGCUUCGUGCUCGUGUUGAUUUUGAGUUUUGAGUGAUGGACUCAAGUAUGGGCCAGAAACCUCGAGACAUAGUGGGACUUUUUUUUUAAUAUCAUUUUACCCAUGUCUUUGUUUAUGGGCUUUUUAUAUAUUUUGUGAAUUGGUGGUACUUAUUCGAUACCGUCUAAAAACUAUUCAUGUCAUAUUUGAUAUCUUUUUUUCUACACCAUUUAUAAUAUUCAUUUAAUAUUAUUGUAUAUGCAAAAAUGGAAGUAUUUUAUACCUUAAACAAACAUUUGAAAUUAUUGACGUUCUUUUUUUUUUGCGCAAACUGAUUUCCAUUAAAUUGAAAAGCUUAAGUUGGGUUUAAGGCCCAUAAAACAUGUUUGACUAUAGAAUCGGCUCAAAGCUCUAGAAAUGAAAGUAAACUUGAUUAUUUUAAAUGAGAACGAUAGGAAAUAGAUGUCACGAAGAAUGCCCUAGAUUUCUAACUUCAUCUCAUGUAUGUUUAUCAUGUUGAUGAGGACAUAAGAAUCAUAAAGCACAGUGAUGAAGUCGAAUCCGUGAUUGAGGGCAAAGUUUAUGGCUGUGAAUACUGCCAUAGUUUCUGCCAUAAGAGCGAGGAGACAAAAGUCUAAGUCGCUGGAUGCUGACGUACAAAUGACAAAAAUUACACGAAAACUGCAUUGCAAAAAGCUUUCUAAUUGCUGUUAUUAGCUGUAAGUCUGUAUAUAUAUAUGCAACUAAUUAAAUCUCAGUUAAAUUUCUAAAGCCACUGUCACGCGAUUUUUAAAAUGACAAUCAAACCUUUUCACUAUAAAUAUUUCACACAUAAGUACUUUACUGUUCUUUGUUUUUUUUCGUCAACAGCUGUUCUUCGUUAAUAGGUUUUCUUCAGCUGUUAUAUGUUAUUACUUAUGAGGAACUGGUAUUACAUAUAGAGAAAAUAUAGAUCGAGAACACCAAAUUAUCAUAAAUAUGGAACUUUGUGAUUAUUAAAAAGUUUUGUUAUACGAUUUUAUGUUCUUUUAAAAGUGUUUAAUGGGGUUGAUUGUAUGAUCACAAUAUAGGUUAUACAUGAUCGUGCGUUCACCCACUCUGAUAUGAUUGUUCAUGGGGAGUUUUGUAUAGAAUUAAGUGAAAUUAUUAGAAUUUACAAUAAGAUCACUAAGCAGAUAUUUUCAUAAUAUUUUUUUAUAAACCCUAUCGGCUGAUCCGGUCGGCCCCGGGAGGAACGCGAUUAGUGAAAUAUUUUCAUAAUAUUUUUCAUGACAUCAACUGUGAGUGUCACUUAGAAUCUCGAAUAUAAUCCAAAUCCGACAUAAGAUAUGAUUCUCUUAUUUUUGCAUUCAACCGAAUAAUCUGAAGUGCUCCAAUCGCAAACUCGUUUUCUCGCCCAUGACCUAAAAAUGGUCUUUUAUAUAAUGCGCAUAUGAUUAAUCCGCCACCAAAGUGCUUUGUGACCACUUAUUUACUUAUUUAUAUGCUGAUAACUCUGUGUUAUGUGUAAAGUUACUAAUUAGUUUAAUAUUUAUAAGCAAGAGUAAGAUUCUCAUGAUAAACAUUUAAAUUAGUAUCUCCAGUAUGAUUGUAUUCAAUAAGUAUUAGCUGAAUUAAGCUAGUUGAUAGUAUAUCAUAAUUUUGACAAAUUUAACGUAACAAUUUUCAUAAUCAUUUACUGCUGUUAGAAACCUGUGUUAUAAUUAUAACUUUCCUUUUUGGGUCAAAAUUACAACUUUCUAUACAUAAAAGAGAUAACUUAAAGGAAAGGCAGUUGACUUGAGAAUAUAAAGUCAAUUGGAGAGCAAUUUGCAGGAGAAAAGUCAUAAAAGUCGUACAUUCGCCACUUGUAAUUAACAAGAGAAUCAUCGGAAAAUGGCAUCUUUGAAAAUAAUAUUGGUAAUUACGUAUACAUAUUGUUUAUAAUUUUUUAAAAAUAUAUUAUUUAUAUUGUUUUUAAGCAUAUAUCGUCUUUUGUUAUUAAGCACUACGUUAAGAUAUGCAAGUUACUUUAUUAAGAUGCAUAUAUACUCACUUCUAUUACAUAUAUAUGGUAAUAUAUAUAUGUUUCUAAAACAUAGUAUUAUAUAUGCAAACAAAGUAGAAUAUUAAUCAAUUUUAAAACUAGUUACAAUUUUUAAAAAAAAAUUAGACAACUUUUUACAAAUGAAACCAAUGGGACAGGUGUAGGAAUAGUGUCUUCAAUAUGUGUAUAGAUUAGAAAAUCUUUUGAGGAUAUAGUCAUUUGAGUGUAGCAAACAUAACAUGACAUAUGCAUAUGAUGACCACAAGUGCAUAUUGGCAGCAUAUACCCGUUUGAGCACCUACAUAUAACUUUGAACUAAUAAAUAUUUAAAUGUAUAUGAAAAACCUUUCGAAUGAUAAAUGAUUAAAUUUUAAACCAAACUAUGAUCUGGCAUUGGCUAAUAGCUUCACACUUCGUUGGCACGUCUAUUUAAAGCUUCACAAAGACGCGAACUUAAAUCACAACCCGAAAACGAAAAAUAUCACAAGAAAAGAAAAAAAAACCAUUUAUUCAGUAUGUUUUCUCUGGGUAUGAGAACCGAAAUAGAAAAUCUGUGGGUCUUUGCUCUUGCAUCAAAAUGCAAUAUUUUCAUUCAAGAACAUUUUAUUUCUCUUCUCAUCGCCGUAGCCAUCACUUGGUUUACCUUCACCAUCGUAUUUUGGUCUACACCUGGUGGACCGGCUUGGGGAAGAUACUUUUUCACUCGCCGGUUUACUUCCGGCUGUAACCAAAAAAACAAGAAUCUCAUUCCCGGUCCGAGAGGGUUUCCACUCGUGGGAAGCAUGAGCCUAAGGUCAAGCCGCGUAGCUCACCAGCGCAUAGCAGCAGUGGCUGCGAUGAGAAACGCCAAGCGGCUCAUGGCGUUUAGCCUCGGUGAUACCAAGGUGAUGGUGACGUGUCAUCCUGACGUGGCAAAGGAGAUACUGAACAGCUCGGUGUUUGCAGACCGACCUGUUGACGAAACCGCUUAUGGUUUGAUGUUUAACCGAGCCAUGGGAUUCGCUCCAAAUGGUGCUUACUGGCGUACGCUACGUCGGUUAGGUUCGAACCAUCUUUUCAACCCAAAGCAAAUCAAACGCUCGGAGGAGCAGAGACGAGUGAUCGCGACUCAGAUGGUGAAUGUAUUUGCACGUAACGCUGAAACCGCGUUUGGAGUACGUGAUUUGCUAAAAACGGCGUCGUUGUCUAACAUGAUGGGUUUAGUUUUCGGGAAACAGUAUGAACUGGAGUCUAAUAACAACGUUGAGUCGGAAUGCUUGAAGGGUUUGGUUGAAGAGGGGUACGAUCUUCUCGGUACACUUAACUGGACCGACCACCUUCCUUGGUUAGGCGGUCUAGAUUUUCAACAAGUCCGGUUCAGAUGCUCUCAGCUUGUACCGAAAGUAAACCAGUUAUUGAGCCGAAUCAUUCAUGAACACCGUGCACCUACGUGCAGUUUUCUCGACGUGUUACAUUCUCUUCAUGAUUCAGAAAAAUUAUCAGAAUCCGACAUGGUCGCUGUUCUUUGGGUACGUAAACAUUAUAUAAUUCUUGUAAUAUGUAGAACAUGGACAUUAAUAUUUCAAAUUUUUGGUCCCUUUAGGAAAUGAUAUUUAGGGGGACGGACACAGUGGCCGUGCUGAUCGAGUGGGUGCUAGCGAGGAUUGUAAUGCAUCCUAAAGUUCAGUCAACGGUCCACGAUGAGCUUGACCGAGUCGUUGGCAGAUCCAAAGCCGUUGAUGAGUCUGACCUCCCAUCUCUCACGUAUCUAACGGCUAUGAUCAAAGAAGUGUUGAGGCUGCAUCCACCAGGCCCACUUCUCUCUUGGGCUCGUCUCUCCAUAACGGACACCACCGUAGACGGAUAUCACGUGCCGGCUGGGACCACCGCGAUGGUCAACAUGUGGGCUAUAGCACGUGAUCCACACGUGUGGGAGAAUCCUUUGGAGUUUAAGCCUGAGAGGUUCGUGGCAAAAGAGGGUGAAGCUGAGUUCUCUGUUCUCGGGUCGGAUAUGAGGUUGGCACCCUUCGGGUCGGGUAAGAGAGUUUGCCCGGGAAAGAAUUUGGGGCUUGCGACGGUUUCGUUUUGGGUUGCAACGCUCUUGCAUGAGUUUGAGUGGCUUUCUAGUGUCAACGCUAACCCUCCUGAUCUUUCAGAUGUUUUGAGGCUGUCGUGCGAGAUGGCUUGUCCUCUUGUCGUUAACUUACGCUCAAGGCGUAAGAUAGCAUAAGCUUCGGUUUAGUCAAUGCACGAAUGCUUCAAAGUUAUUGGCAAAUUAAAAAAACACGUAUUCUAAUAAAACCUGGAAAACUGAUAUGUAUGCAAAGUCCAAAGUGCGAUGUAUAUUCGCCCAUCUUUUAUUGAUUAAGGGAACAUAUUAAUGUAUUUGUAUUAUAUGAAAUAAAUUUAAUAUAUGUUUCAUGCGUACGGUUUGAUGGUGAGUAAUGUUGUUAAUUUUAUUAACCAACGCAGUAGUACGGUAGUCUCGGCUCUAAAAAAACUUAAACACGUUUCAGUUUUACGUGGGCCAUUUGGUUAUUUGAACUUAAACUCAUGUGUUUGUUUCGUUAUGAACUAGUGAGAAAUUCCUUGUAAAAAUUUGUUGGCGUGAGUCGCAUGUUUCGGCUAACCUUCGGUAUGCAAUGCUAAAUCUACAGAAAAUACAAUUUGUACAUUAACUAGUGGUCGCUAUUUAAUUUAACUUAACUAACUUUUCUUAGAUAUAAGAGUUCUAAGAUAUUGGUAAUAUAUAACUAAUUAAAGUUCACUUAUCUUCAAAUGAAUUCAACGAUCAUCCUAGGAAUUAUUCCACUUAACUAAAAUAAAUAACUCUAUACUUCGCGUGUUGAACGAUUAACUGAAUUAUCUUCUCCAGCUUUAAUUAUAUCCUACUCCCAAUUGUAUAAAAUAAUAUGCUUAAUUUGCUACGAAGUUUCUUAGAAGAGCUAGGUCAGUCAACGAUUUUACUAAUGAAACAAGCAUUUGGCUGAAAUUGUGUAUAAUAGGUGUCGUCGUCGAGUGUUCGACUCAGCUAGUGUUUCUGGUUGUUCCAUUACGUGAUCUCAUUAACGCUUGUGUAAUGGACUUAUCACUUCUGAACUUCUAGCAUUUUUAUUUUGUUGUUGACCAACGCAUUAGUCCUCUUAUAUCAGUUUGUUUAUUUAACAUUCGGCAAAUACAUAUCUGACUUCCACUUUUGUUGGUGAAAACAACUUAAACACAUAUCUGACUGCUUACAAACUGUUAAGGUGAUAAAAGAAGAUAAAAAGAUUAGCCGAUUUGACAAUCUGAGAUAGAUGAUUUCUUAUAUUUUUGUUUUACUUUUAUAGAAUUUUUUCCUAUUUCUUUCAGUGCUCAACUCCUUGCUAAAAGAAUCGCAUUUUCUGGAUAAAUGUUAUUGAGUAUGAAUUAAGUCAUGAGGCUUGCCUACUUGAAUUAACGUAUAAUAUAUGGAAUUAUUUGCCAUUAAAAAAUAUUGACACUGAGUCAUUGGCGUUAAGUGGAUAAUCAUGAAUAAUGCAGUUAAUAAAUUUCUUUUACAUGCUACCACAAAGUAUAUACGGCAAUACCGAAUUACAAACUUUGUGUAAAACAACUGUUGGUCAAGACCUCUGUUUACCAGAUGAAAUCGAAAACCCAGAUUCACACAAAACUCUCGGCUCUCUUUUUGGGGGUGGGGAGGAAGAAGGAGAAAGGGGUCUCUUCAGAUUUGUGGUCUGGUUUGGUUUAAUCUGGAGGAGACGACUGCUUUUUCGCAUCUACUGUUGAAUCAUUUUUAAUUAAUUAAUUGUAUCAUUUGGAUCUUUUCAGGAGCUCUCGUUAUAAGAGGCCCUGGUUGAUUUUUAGCCCAUUGUUUUCACAUCUUUAUCUUGUCCUCUUUAUUGGGCCCUGCAGAUUUUUGUUGUUAUAUUCGAAAGAUUGAUGGUUUUUUGGUCCAGAAAUAUUGAUGUUUUAGAAUUUUAAUUGAUGUGUUUUACUUUAAAACUAAAACAUAUACUAUUUAAAUAUAAAAAUAUGAUUAUCUGAAAUUUAUUAGAAAACAUAUAAAAAUUUAAACUAAAAUAAGAGAAAUUUCCUAGGAUAGUCUUUUAAAAAACAAAUUGUCACAAAAAUAGCCCUGAAAAUGACCAAAAUAAGUUUUACCCUAGAGUUAACCAAUUUAAACUUAGGGUUUAGAGUUAAAUAGUGAAGUUUUGGGGAUAUAAUUUCAAAUUAAAAUUAAAAUAAAAAUAAAAAAUAAAUGUUAAAAUUUUCAAAAUAAAAAAAGGACUAUUUUGAUUUUUUUUUUUUUUUUGAAGGUUAUUUUUGUGACAAAAACUUAAAAAUUGUUAUUUACAAAAACUUAAAAAUGGUUAUUUGAGAGAAUUGCCUUAAAAUAAAACUAGCAAGUAAAGAUAAAAAUAAAAAUUAAUUUUUUUGUGUGAAUAAUCUUAAUUUACAUAUUUAAUUUUUCAAUUUUGGUGACAUUUACAACGAAAUAAAACAGAUAUUUAUUCAUUUAGGAUGUUGUCUUGUUCGAAAAAACAAUCCAACCGAUUAAUUUUUUUGUCUUAUACAAUCAAUAAAUUUAAUUUCAAGCAACAAGAAUGAAAAGAAAGAAAGGGACCAAAAAAAGCAAUAAAUUCAUACAUGAGGGAGGAGUAGAGAACAACCAACAAUUGAUAGAUCAUAAGAGCUUUUUAGUUGGUCUCUCCAGACAAAAUGUGGGUUUCAUAUUGAAUCAAUCAAUUGUUUUAGCAAAAUAAUAAUACUAGUAAAGAUCUUUUUCUUUAAUUAUGUCGGUUCAUGCUCACAGCUAUAUUAACAUUGUAUAUUCAUUUAAAGCUAUAUUAAGAGUAUUAAAAGAACGAACAGAGAGCAUCGUUGCUGUCUUCACAAAACAAGAUCGGCUCAAACCGUUUUUCUUCCCACUUUCUCUGUUUCACUGACUCUCCACUUACUCAAACAGAAAGGUAGUCAAAACUUUACUGAGUUUUUCCUCUUCAUCGACCCAGUUCCACCUCAACAAUGAACGAAGAGAUGAGCGGAGAGACGCCGGAGAAUAAACAUGUAAGUAGACCAACAUUGCCGGAAAAGAUCGACUACGUGUUCAAGGUGGUAGUGAUUGGUGACUCUGCGGUCGGAAAAACGCAGCUCCUUUCACGUUUUACACAGAACGAGUUCUGUUACGACUCAAAGUCCACCAUUGGUGUCGAGUUUCAGACACGUACGAUCACUCAUCAAGGCAAGCUCGUUAAAGCUCAGAUCUGGGAUACCGCCGGUCAAGAAAGGUAAAUGUCUAUCUACAUCUAUACACACAUUUAACUAUUCUUACAAAGCUGAAUCUCAGGUUGGCUUUCAAAUUAAAUUGUUUACAUAUUUUAAAGUAUAGUUUAUUUUUCUUGGAUCACGACAUUUAGAUAUGAUUUGAUUUGAUUUCCGAUCUACUUAUAAUCAUUGAUUAUACGUUUUUUUUUUUAAACUAUUGGUUUUCUAACUAUUUUGUUAUUAGAACUAAUCAAUGAGUUGUUUUACUGCGUUUUCGGAGAUUAGAUACAGAGCGGUGACAAGCGCGUAUUACAGAGGCGCGUUAGGUGCUAUGGUCGUUUACGACAUAACUAAACGCGUCUCCUUCGACCACGUGGCACGUUGGGUUGAGGACUUGCGAGCUCACGCCGACGACUCCGCCGUGAUUAUGCUCGUCGGAAACAAAGCCGACCUUGCCGCCGAUAAACGCGCCGUCACGACAGAAGACGCCGUCGAGUUCGCCGAGACUCAUCGGCUAUUCUUCUCGGAAGUCUCGGCUCUAAGCGGCGGGAACGUCGACGAAGCUUUUUUCCGUCUGCUAGAGGAGAUUUUCAGCCGCGUUGUUGUUGCGAGAAAAGCUCUGGAAUGUCAGAAUGGGACUACCGCGAAACUUGACGGUUCGAGAAUUGAUGUGAUCAUCUCUGGUUCUGAUCUUGAGACUGGUAAGACGAAUGAACCAGCUUCGUGCUCGUGUUGAUUUUGAGUUUUGAGUGAUGGACUCAAGUAUGGGCCAGAAACCUCGAGACAUAGUGGGACUUUUUUUUUAAUAUCAUUUUACCCAUGUCUUUGUUUAUGGGCUUUUUAUAUAUUUUGUGAAUUGGUGGUACUUAUUCGAUACCGUCUAAAAACUAUUCAUGUC